rnacentral:rRNA from 1 species
UACGAAGGGGGCUAGCGCUGCUCGGAAUGACUGGGCGUAAAGGGCGCGUAGGCGGUUCGUACAGUCAGACGUGAAAUUCCCGGGCUCAACCUGGGGGCUGCGUUUGAUACGUGCGGGCUUGAGUUCGGAAGAGGGUCGUGGAAUUCCCAGUGUAGAGGUGAAAUUCGUAGAUAUUGGGAAGAACACCGGUGGCGAAGGCGGCCUUCUGGACAGUGACUGACGCUGAGACGCGAAAGCGUGGGGAGCAAACAGG